rnacentral:rRNA from 1 species
AUACGGAGGGUGCAAGCGUUAUCCGGAAUCAUUGGGUUUAAAGGGUCCGUAGGCGGAUAAUUAAGUCAGGGGUGAAAUCCCACAGCUCAACUGUGGCACUACCUUUGAUACUGGUUAUCUUGAGUUAUAGGGAAGUAGAUAGAAUAUGUAGUGUAGCGGUGAAAUGCAUAGAUAUUACAUAGAAUACCGAUUGCGAAGGCAGUCUACUAUCUGUAUACUGACGCUAAGGGACGAAAGCGUGGGGAGCGAACAGGAUUAGAUACCCUAGUAGUCC